rnacentral:rRNA from 1 species
GACAGAGGGUGCAAACGUUGUUCGGAAUUACUGGGCGUAAAGCGCGUGUAGGCGGUUCGGAAAGUCGGAUGUGAAAGCCCUGGGCUUAACCCAGGAAGUGCACUCGAAACUCCCGAACUAGAGUCCUGGAGAGGAAGGCGGAAUUCUCGGUGUAGAGGUGAAAUUCGUAGAUAUCGAGAGGAACAUCGGUGGCGAAGGCGGCCUUCUGGACAGCGACUGACGCUGAGACGCGAAAGCGUGGGGAGCAAACAGG